UACGGGGGGGGCAAGCGUUGUUCGGAAUUACUGGGCGGAAAGGGCUCGUAGGCGGCCAACUAAGUCAGACGUGAAAUCCCUCGGCUUAACCGGGGAACUGCGUCUGAUACUGGAUGGCUAGAGAUUGGGAGAGGGAUGCGGAAUUCCAGGUGUAGCGGUGAAAUGCGUAGAUAUCUGGAGGAACACCGGUGGCGAAGGCGGCAUCCUGGACCAACACUGACGCUGAGGAGCGAAAGCCAGGGGAGCAAACGGG
rnacentral:rRNA from 1 species